UUGCACGCUGGCGGCAGGCCUCACACCUGCCAUUCGAGCCGAUGAAUGUAUCUUGCUCCUGGAUUCAGCUGCUUACUUUUUCUUACUGCCUAUGAAUCUGCCUGGUAUUUUUUUAUAACUUCCGUAAACGGGCUCUACUACCUCAUACGUCCUUAUUUAGAAAGUGGGGGAUCUUCGUACCUCCCUCUAUCAUCUUAUCCUCGUUCGGCUUCUCUAGUUUGUGGGUUAAAGGCCUACCAAGGCGACGAUCCGUAACUGGUCUGAGAGGAUGAUCAGUCACACUGGAACUGAGACACGGUCCAGACUCCUACGGGAGGCAGCAGUGGGGAAUAUUGGACAAUGGGCGAAAGACUGAUCCAGCCAUGCCGCGGGUGUGAAGAAGGGAUGCGGAUUGUAAAGCACUUUAAGUUGGGAGGAAGGGAAGUAAGUUAAUAACUUGCUGGUUUGACGUUACCAACAGAAUAAGAACCGGCUAACUUCGUG
rnacentral:rRNA from 1 species